rnacentral:rRNA from 1 species
UACGUAGGGGGCGAGCGUUGUCCGGAUUCAUUGGGCGUAAAGCGCGCGUAGGCGGCUUCGUAAGUCGGCCGUGAAAUCUCCAGGCUCAACUUGGAGGGGUCGGGCGAGACUGCGGGGCUCGAGGUGGGCAGAGGGCAGUGGAAUUCCGGGUGUAGUGGUGGAAUGCGUAGAGAUCCGGAAGAACACCGGUGGCGAAGGCGGCCUGCUGGGCAGUGGCUGACACUGAGGCGCGACAGCGUGGGGAGCAAACAGG